GUGAGGAAUAUUGGACAAUGGGCGCAAGCCUGAUCCAGCAAUGCCGCGUGCAGGAAGAAGGCCUUCGGGUUGUAAACUGCUUUUGUACGGAACGAAACGGUCCUGGUUAAUACCCGGGGCUAAUGACGGUACCGUAAGAAUAAGCACCGGCUAACUACGUGCCAGCAGCCGCGGUAAUACGUAGGGUGCAAGCGUUAAUCGGAAUUACUGGGCGUAAAGCGUGCGCAGGCGGUGCUGUAAGACAGGCGUGAAAUCCCCGGGCUUAACCUGGGAAUUGCGCUUGUGACUGCAGUGCUGGAGUGCGGCAGAGGGGGAUGGAAUUCCGCGUGUAGCAGUGAAAUGCGUAGAUAUGCGGAGGAACACCGAUGGCGAAGGCAAUCCCCUGGGCCUGCACUGACGCUCAUGCACGAAAGCGUGGGGAGCAAACAGGAUUAGAAACCCUAGUAGUCC
rnacentral:rRNA from 1 species